rnacentral:lncRNA from 1 species
UUCGCUGCCUGGCACUCUGGGAAAAGGGGGGGGGGAAAUCCCCGGAAAAACAGGGGGUGCUUCCCCGGAAAAAUCUUCCCCGUAUGCUUUUCGAAGAAAGUCGGAGUUUGUACGGGGAAGUCCUUACGGGGAAGUUCUUACGGGCAAGUGAAGCCCUUUUACGGGAAAGUUCAGCACCCGAACGGGAAAGUUUUGGGAGCUGCUAACACACUCAGGAUCCACACUGUACACCACGCAAUACUGCGUUAUCCUUUUACGACACCGGCCACACACCUGCUCCUCGUUGACAAGUCCAUUACGCUCAUGCAACACUACACCAAACCUCGUAUGAUGUCUGCCUUAUAUGUAUGCGUGCAAACUCUAACGUGCAACAAUGCCUAGCGCCAUCACUUGCGUGUCUGCUGGGUACAAUGCAUCCGACAACCUUGAUGCCCACCUCCACCGCAGCCGCCAUAUCUUCCUACGACCAAACUCCGUCCUUGGCACCAUCAUGCCCGCCUCCACCCCUUGUGCUGCUGGACCAGCUGCUGCCCAUGCCGGAUCCUUAGUUGCGCCUCCACUGCCUGCUUGUUGGCUGUGUUACAUGGUUGCGCCUGCAUGCACGCGGCCACACAUAUAUGUUACAGCUAGCCACAAACGGCAGAGACGACACCUUGCAGCCAAAGUCAGGGAGGCAGCGUAUAAGAUAGAGACAAAAGCCCUGUGCAUGCAGGGUUGCCAGGGAACCACCUUACGGGCACCUCAGCAUCUCCGUCAUGCUUCACACCGAUUUACCCCGCCACCUCCCACCAACACACACAACGACGCACAAAGACUGCGUCUAUGUAUGCCAACAUGUGUUGCGGACACUCACAGUUGCUGGGCACAAUGUUGGAGGUGUAGUGGCAGUCAGCCAGCCGUCUGGGGGACCGAACCGGAGGGAAAAAGCAGGGGUUGGGUGUGCGAUGGGACAGGGUUGGGUACCAAGGUGUGGCAGGGCAGGGUAGCGGGCGGGUAUGCGACAUGGGAUUAAGGUAUCAUGGCAAGGUAGCCACACAUAUAUGUUACUGCUCGUCAUUCCUCUGCCACAAAUGGCAGAGACGACACAUUGCGGCCAAGGUCAGGGAGGCAGUGUAUAAGAGGCAAGAGCCCUGUGCACGCAGGGUUGCCAGGGAAUCACCUUCAGCCACCUCAGCAUCUCCGUCAUGCUUCACACCGAUUUACCCCGCCACCUCCCACCAACACACAACGACGCACAAAGACUGCGUCUGUGUAUGCCAACAUGUGUUGCGGACACUCACCGUUGCUGGGCACAAUGUUGGAGGUGUAGUGGCAGUCAGCCAGCCGUCUGGGGGACCGAUCCGGAGGGGAAGCAACAGGGGUUGGGCGCCAAGGUGUGGCGGGGCAGGGCAGCGGGCGGGUACAUGACAUGGGAUUCAGGUAUCAUGGCAAGGUAGCCAUAGAUUCCAACACCUUGCAGGCAGGCAGGUAGGCAGCAAACAGUCAUUUGUUGAAGCCCCCCUCCCCCCACCACACGCACACACAUAGCGCGAGGAGGUGGACUUCAGCCACCUAAGCCGCCUACGGCCCAGCACCUACAACAACUCCCUAAACCCAUCUCAUUAACUCACCCCAAAGAGCUCCUGAAACCGUUCCCAAGAGUGAGAGGUUGAAUCCUGCACAACACACAAGACACGCGGGGUUGACGGGGGGCGGGCGGGCAGUCGCCGCAACAUGUGUUCUUAACGCAUCCCAUUGUCAUUGCAACCUAUCGACUAACCUGCGGAUGAACGUGUGUUGGUUGUUGCCGGUAGUGUUGCAGAGCCAUGUUGGAUGGCAAUGACGCCCGCGCGGGCGACCGAGAAGACAAACUUUGAAGCAAAGCUGAUAGAAACGGAUGCUGACUCGUAAACCUUACGUGACGGCUGGCUUCAGCUGACGUCUGAGCAGCGUCGCCGAGCCGGUCAACGAGUCAGCAGCGCAAGAAUUCGUGGCCCCAGCCAGCAAAGUAGCUACUGACAUUUGAGCUAGUCUUAACUUUUGUUCAAAACGCAAAUUAGCGAGGGAGAGUGGAGCAAGGGACAGCGACAUAAGUGCAACAGCUGCAGAAGAGCUGAGCUCUUGCCGAGACAAAAUGCAGUGUAUCAAGUGUAAGUAGGUACUAUAUUUAUGUAUGCUACAAUAUUUAUGUAAGUUAACACGCUUGUUGCUUGAAGUCAGGCUCGCGAAACCCCAUGCAGAUGCUCGCCGGUCGCCUCUUCUCGCC